UACAGGGGGUGCAAACGUUGCUCGGAAUCAUUGGGCGUAAAGCGCACGUAGGCGGUUCGUUAUGUCGGAUGUGAAAGCCCUUGGCUUAACCGAGGAAGUGCAUCCGAAACUGGCGAGCUAGAGUACGAAAGAGGAUCGCGGAAUUCCCGGUGUAGAGGUGAAAUUCGUAGAUAUCGGGAGGAACACCGGUGGCGAAGGCGGCCAACUGGACCAUUACUGACGCUGAGGCGCGAAAGCGUGGGGAACAAACAGG
rnacentral:rRNA from 1 species